ACUACGGGAGGCAGCAGUGAGGAAUAUUGGUCAAUGGACGAGAGUCUGAACCAGCCAAGUAGCGUGAAGGAUGACUGCCCUAUGGGUUGUAAACUUCUUUUAUAUGGGAAUAAAACGUUCCACGUGUGGGAUUUUGUAUGUACCAUAUGAAUAAGGAUCGGCUAACUCCGUGCCAGCAGCCGCGGUACUACGGAGGAUCCGAGCGUUAUCCGGCUUUAUUGGGUGUAAAGGGAGCUUAGUUGGAUUGUUAAGUCAGUUGUUCAAGUUUGCGGCUCAACCGUAAAAUUUCAGUUUAAACUGGCAGUCUUGAGUACAGUAGAGGUGGGCGGAUUUCGUGUUGUAGCGGU
rnacentral:rRNA from 1 species